GUGCCAGCCGCCGCGGUAAUAUGGAGGGUGCAAGCGUUGUCCGGAAUCACUGGGCGUAAAGCGCGCGUAGGCGGCCGACUAAGUUGGAGGUGGAAGCCUGGGGCCCAACCCCAGAAUUGCCCCCAAAACUGGCCGGCUGGAGGACGGCAGGGGAGAGUGGAACUCCUGGUGGAGCGGUGAAAUGCGUAGAUAUCAGGAGGAACGCCAGCGGCGAAAGCGACUCUCUAGGUCGUUCCUGACGCUGAGUGUGCGAAAGCCAGGGUAGCGAACGGGAUUAGAAACCCGGGUAGUCC
rnacentral:rRNA from 1 species